ensembl:lncRNA
UAAUACAUUCUAAAUAGAAUUCGUAGGGUUUUUCUUGUUUGUUUGUUUGUUUGUAGGAAAGAAGCUGUAGAAGAAUACUCGGCCUGACUUGUACCUGCAACUGAAAUUUAGUUUAUUCAGUAUUUCAGUGAUAAGGGUUAUAGCUAUACCUACACAUUCUGAUUUUCUAUGUCAGGUUGCAUUAAAGUUGAAUCUGUGCUUGUCGUGCUUGCUGACUAUAAAUGUUUAUAACUUUAAACAUAGUGAUCAUGCUUACUGCACAUAUAAAACAUUUUCUCUCUCUUUUUUUUUUAACUCAGACUGCCAUUUAUCUUAAAUAUUUUAAAAGCAAUUUUGAGGAGCAUUGAGGUUUUUCAGAUCAGAUGUUAUACAUGGCAUGGAACAGAUCAUGCUCCUUCAAAGACAAGCAUGCAGAUUUACAGUAUCCUACUGCCCCUCAGUACUAAUCUUGAUCUUUUACCUGGACCAUGUUACCUGCAGAGGGACCUGUCGAUUUCAGAACAUCUUUCCAGAGGAACAAUCAGCUCUUCCUAAGGAUACAGAUGCAGAGUCAGAAUCUCAGUGACUGGGACAAAGUCCUUGUCUUUUAACUACAUUAAGCAGUAAGCAUACAUACAGUGCUCUAUAAGCAAAAAUGAAAUGUUGCAAAUUCUGAACCAGAACUGUUAAUCACAGUGUUUAAAAGCGUUCAUACAGAAAUGCUAGGUCACUUCCCACAGGAAUUUAAAUCUCUUGUACCUUCACUCGUUAUAAUAGACUUAGAAGAGAAAGAAGAGAACAUAAAACAGGUUGGGAUUUGUCUCCAGAGGAAAAAAGGAACAGCUCCAGUACUUGAAGUUACUCCGCAGAGCACUUGUUAGACUGACAAACUUACUGAAGAUUUACAUUGUAAAAAUUGCAAACAGGAGGGAAUGCUAGAAGCAUCAGUACUUUUUCACAGUCAUCAGUCUCAAAAGCAGCCACUGAGAUAUGUGUCAAAAUGAAGAACAGGUGAAAAAGAGCAUUCAUGCCUUGACAAAGUACUUGACUAGUCAAGUCAAAGUUGAAAGCGAUUUCAAUUGCUACAUAUUAUUAAGAUAAAGGUGAUUUCUGUAGAUACUAAAGGCCCAGAGAAGAUUCUAUUUUUACUAGGAGCAUGCAAACUUUUAGAAAGAUACAGAAGGGAUAAAGACUCACAAAAUGUGUACAAUUGCCAAAAAGGAAAAAAUAUGUCCCUGGACUAUUUGCAGUCAUGUCAUGGGAUUACCUAGGCUUGCAGUACAUUUGCUUUGAUAAUACAGAGUCAGUGAAUCUUUUUAAGUCUACAGUUUACUCUAAUGUUUCCAUGGGCUUUCUUAGCGUUUGCCACUUCAAUUAACCUUAGUGGCAGCAGAUAUGCCAACUCUUUUCUUGUGGAUUUGCACAGAUUCGUAUCACUCUUUUCAUUACCUGUAGGUAAGCAGAAUUGGAGAACUGCUAUCAUAAACUUCAUAACCAACUAUACAGAGUAUGUUACUCAACUAUGAUCUAUAUUUUAUUCUACCUAUUAGUUAUUCUGAAUUAUCCUGCCCUCUCCUUUCC